AGACUGGGAUAACUCCGGGAAACCGGGGCUAAUACCGGAUGGUUGUUUGAACCGCAUGGUUCAAACAUAAAAGGUGGCUUCGGGUACCACUUACAGAUGGACCCGCGGCGCAUUAGCUAGUUGGUGAGGUAACGGCUCACCAAGGCGACGAUGCGUAGCCGACCUGAGAGGGUGAUCGGCCCCCCCUGGCACUGAGACACGGCCCAAACUCCUACGGGAGGCAGCAGUAGGGAAUCUUCCGCAAUGGACGAAAGUCUGACGGAGCAACGCCGCGUGAGUGAUGAAGGUUUUCGGAUCGUAAAGCUCUGUUGUUAGGGAAGAACAAGUACCGUUCGAAUAGGGCGGUACCUUGACGGUACCUAACCAGAAAGCCACGGCUAACUACGUGCCAGCAGCCGCGGUAAUACGUAGGUGGCAAGCGUUGUCCGGAAUUAUUGGGCGUAAAGGGCUCGCAGGCGGUUUCUUAAGUCUGAUGUGAAAGCCCCCGGCUCAACCGGGGAGGGUCAUUGGAAACUGGGGAACUUGAGUGCAGAAGAGGA
rnacentral:rRNA from 1 species